GGAGAAGAUUGCACCUACAUGGAUGAAUGUUUCUUUGAAAAUGAAAGAUGACCCAGAGACUGAUAAAGCUUUUGGAUGGGUUUUAGAAAUGUAUGCCUAUGCUGUAGCUUCUGCUUUUCACGGUGUGCAGCAUAUUCUUCGCAAAGACUUUAUGCUGCAGCCCCCAUGGG